rnacentral:rRNA from 1 species
UACGAAGGGGGCUAGCGUUGUUCGGAAUCACUGGGCGUAAAGGGCGCGUAGGCGGCCGAUCAAGUCGGGGGUGAAAGCCUGUGGCUCAACCACAGAAUUGCCUUCGAUACUGUUUGGCUUGAGACCGGAAGAGGUUAGUGGACGUGACGAGUGUAGAGGUGAAAUUCGUAGAUAUUCGCAAGAACACCAGUGGCGAAGGCGGCUGACUGGUCCGGUUCUGACGCUGAGGCGCGAAAGCGUGGGGAGCAAACAGG